AGCAGCCAGGAUAGCAGCAGGAAGAUAUUUUUUUUACAUUACAUGAGUAUAUGGAACUUUCUUUGCGGUUUCCUGAGGCUGGUGAGUGGACUAACUAUCUCCACAACAAGUUUUGCUGUUUUUUAAUUGCUAUUAAUAAAGUAUACUUACCUGAGAUCCGGAUUGCAAGCUUCCUUUCCACGGAUCCCACGCACUCUAGGGGCUGAACCUCCCUGAGUGCUAUAGCAACAAGUGGUACUUUUACCACUCCAAUCUUUUGAGUGUAAUACCUAAAGGGCACCUCUGUUUGCUUUAUUUUAUAUAUUUAUAAGUGAAUUACUAUGCUGCACUAGGAGCUCUCUUUCUGUUUUUGUCUCCUUAAUAGGUGUCAGAGUGAUUUCCAUGUUUGCAAGUAUACCUACAGAUUGUGCUUUGUUUUACCACAACCACUGUUUGGUUUUUAAUUAUUUAUAAUAUUUCCACUCUGUAAACACCUCAUUUCAUGUACACAGGGUUACUUUCACUAUUACAUUGUCUGCCUACCUUUAAGUCAUCAGAAAUAAUUACCCCUAAAUCCCUUUCCUCAGAUGUUGAGGUUAGAACUCUAUCAAAUAUUCUGUACUCUGCCCUUGGGUUUUUACGUCCAAGAUGCAUUAUCUUGCACUUAUCCACAUUAAAUGUCAGCUGCCACAACUCUGACCAUUUUUCUAGUUUACCUAAAUCAUUUGCCAUUUGGCUUAUUCCUCCUGGAACAUUAACCCUGUUACAUAUCUUUGUAUCAUCAGCAAAAAGACUUACCUUACCAUCAAGACCUACUGCAAUAUCACUAAUAAAAAUAUUAAAUAGACAUGUGCAAUUAGUUUCGGUCCGAAUAUGAAUUUGGAUGAAUUUUGGGCAAUUCGGACCUUCGGAUACUUCCGAAUGUCCGAAUAGCCGAAGUGCUGAAUUGCCAAAGUGCCGUGGUCCUGAAGUUCCGAAAUUACCGAAGUGUCGAAGUGUCAAAGUGCCGAAGCACAGUAUUGCCUAAGUACUAAUAUACUUACCCAGUGGAAGAAUGAAGAAUGUUACACUGUAUACAAUUUUAAAUAAAAAGUAUACAAACAUAGCCAGGAUUCAGCUGUAAGCAUUUGCAACACUUACAACAAUUAAGUAACAUACAUUCAUAUAAAAUGUAAGUUACUUAGCCUGUCAAUGUAAUGACAGGAAUGAAUAAGUAGAUAACUCCCUAAUUCCCACGGUAUUAGGGAGCUAUAUACUAAAAGGCUGAAAGACCUGAAUUGGUUUUUCAGCCAAAUUUACUAAUACUAAGAUUACUUAGUAUUAGUAAAUUAUGCCCCUACUUGCUAUACCGCGAGUAAGGGCAUGUCUAUUAAACAGUGAGCAGCCUGUGGAUGCUCACUGUAAAAAAAAAACAAAAAAACGUCCACCCCUCCCAAGCCCCCACCCGUGCUGCGCGAGUGGGGGUUUCUAAGGGGACCUAUGGCCGCCCCCGCCCCCCACCCAUGAGCGGUGGGUGGGGGCCCUAAAUUAGAAUAAGGGGGGGACCUAUUGUCCUCCUCCCCGGCCCCCACCCCUGAGCGGCGGGUGGGGGCCCUAAUGUAAAAUAAUGAGGGGGGGAGACAUAUUGUCCUCCCCCCGCCCUCACCCCUGAGUGGUGGGGGCCCUAAAUACUAAUUUGGGGGGGGCACCUAAUGUCCUCCCCCCUGGCCCCCACCCCUGAGAGGUGGGUGGGGGCCCUAAAAACUAAUUAGGGGGGGACCUAAUAUUUGCUCAGGAGUGGGGGCACUACAUAAAAAAAUUACCCCCCCCUCCCUAGGUGACUAGGGGUUCCCAAACCCAUAGUCACCCCCCCUCCCAAAAAAAUGAACCCCUACCUAUCGCUCUCACCCUAAAAAUAGUGAGGGGGGACCAUUAGCUAAACCUGUUAAAAAAUAAAAUAAAACAUACCAUUUGAUGUUUUCUUUCUUCUAAAAUCUUUUUUCAGCCACAAAAAAGGCCAAAUAAAAAGCCAUAAUAACCGAAGCACUUUAAAAAAAAAAAAAAAAAUCCUUCUUCACCCAUGGAAGACUGAGCUCUGCAGAGUGGGGCGAGGCUUAUAAGCCUUGCCCAGCCCUGCAAUUAGGCUCAGAGCACUCUGAUUGGUGGGUUUAAGCCAUCCAAUCAGAGUGUUCUGACAGGUAAAUGAAGAGACUGACAGGUAAGUUGGUUGGCUUGAAAUCCACCAAUCAGAGUGCUCUGUGUCAUUUUACACAGCGUGGGAAAGUUCUUUGGAAUUUUCCCACGCUGUGUAAUUUGACUCAUAACACUCUGAUUGGUUACUUAAUCCAUCAAUUUUAGGUUUAGCUAAUGGUCCCCCCUCACUAUUUUUAGGGUGAGGGGGGUGUCAGGAUUACUGUUUGAUCCAGCACGUAGAACUGUACAGCACGGAUGACAAAUAAGUAACGUAUUACCGGUCCUUAGAAUGGCCGGAUUUAACGUACAAAGAAUAGUCAAAAAUACUAGCCGAGGUCAGGGAACACAGAAAGGGACACAGCGAUGAGGAAAGCCAGGAGUCAGGAUACCAGAAUAUAGAGAAGUCAAUAAACAAAGCCAAAGUCAAAAACCAGGUAGAAAACUAUAAACAGGAACGCGCUCUCAGACAACCACAAGGGAAACCACGACAGGGCACUGAGCAGGCUGAGAACUGGGCCUAAAUACCCCUCCUUUAGUUCUGAUAGGCUGUAACCGGCCUUUGACCCCAAAGUCAGUUACCAGGUUUCAUUUGCAUAAUUGCUGCUCAGCAUUAACCCUUCUGUGGAUUAGGUUGCUGCUCGGCACAACUUUUCCUGUGUGGACAGUAAAUGUCAUUAAUCACUUUUCUCUAAGCGGAUGAAUACAUGACACCAGGUUUCAUUUGCACAAUUACUGCUCAGCAUUAACCCUUCUGUGGAUUAGGUUGCUGCUCGGCACAACUUUUCCUGUGUGGACAGUAAAUGUCAUUAACCACAUUUCUAUAAGCGGAUGAAUACGUGACAGGGGGUAGGUAGGGGUUCAUUUUUUUGGGAGGGGAGUGACUAGGGGUUUGGGGACCCCUAGUCACCUGGGGAAGGGGGGGGGUUAAUUUUUUAUUUAGUGCCCCCACCUGCCACUCAGGGGUGGGGGCCAGGAGGGAGGACAUUAGGUCCCCCCCCCAUUCUAAUUUAGGGUCCCCAUCCACCACUCAGGGGUGGGGGCCACAGGGGAGGACAUUAGGUCCCCCCUAAUUAGUAUUUAGGGCCCCAACCCACCGCUCAGGGGUGGGGGCCAGGAGGAGGACAUUAGGUCCCCCCCUAAUUAAUAUUUAGGGCUGCCACCCACCGCUCAGGAGUGGGGGCCAGGGGGAGGACAUUAGGUCCCCCCCUAAUUAAUAUUUAGGGCCCCCACCCACCGCUCAGGGGUGGGGGCCAGGGGAGAGGACAUUGGGCCCCCCUCAUUCUAAUUUAGGGCCCCCACCCCUGAGAGUUGGGUGGGGGCCAGGGGGGAGGACAUUACGUCCCCCCAAUUAGUAUUUAGGGCUCCCACCCACCGCUCAGGGGUGGGGGCCAGGGGGGGGGGAAAUAGGUCCCCCCCAUUAUUUUACUUUAGGGCCCCCACCCGCCGCUCAGGGGUGGGGCCGGGGGAGGACAAUAGGUCCCCCCUCCAUUAUUUUACUUUAGGGACCCCAUCCACUUCUAAAGUGGGGGCAAUAGGCCCCUCCCUUUAGUUUAAAAGCCCCCACUUGCGUGUUGUGGGUGGGGGCUCGGGAGGGGGGACCCCUUUUUUAAAGUUUUUUUUUUUAACAGUGAGCAGCCACUAGCUGCUCACUGUUUAAUAGACAUGCCCCUACUUGCGAUAUAGCGAGUAGGGGCACAAUUUACUAAUACUAAGUAGUUUGUACUUAGUAUUAGUAAAUUUGGCUGAAAGACCAAUUUAGGUCUUUCAGCCUUUUGGUAGAUAACUCCUUAAUACCGUGGGAAUUAGGGAGUUAUCUACCAAGCGGCUGCAAGAGAAGUUCCGAAAUUCUGAAGUCCCGAAGUGUCUAAGUGCCGAAGUGCCGAAUUCCCGAGGUCCCGAAGUUCCGAAAUUACCGAAUUUCGGAAUGCCGAACCGAACCGAAUAUUUUUCCUAUGCACAUGCCUAAUAUUCAAGAGAAUGGGUCCAAUUACAGAUCACUGAGCUACCCCACAAGCCCAUGCUUCGAAUAUACUCCACUGACGACAACCCUCUGUUGCCUGUCACUCAGCCACUGCCUUACCCAUUCAACAAUAUUGGAAGCCAAACUUAAAGAUUGCAGUUUAUUGAUAAGCCUUCUAUGUGCAACAGUGUCAAAAGCCUUACUGACAUCUAGGUAAGCAAUGUCUACAGCAUUACUCUGAUUAUUUGAGUUACCUAAUCAAAAAAAUCAAAAGAUUAGUUUGGCAUGAUCUCCCUGAAGUAAACCCAUGUUGUCUCUGAUCUUGAAAUCCGUGUGAUUUUAGAUGUUCAAUAAUCUUAUCCUUUAACAUAGUUUCCAUUACUUUCCCCACAACUGAAGUAAGGCUUACUGACAUGUAGUUGCCCAACUCCUCCCUACUACCUUUCUUGUGAAUCGGCACAACAUUCGCUAACUUCCAAUCUUCUGGGACUAUCUUCCCAUUGACUUAUUUGUCUUUACUUUUGACAGUUGAAAUAGAAUCUCUUCCUCUGUCAACUCACAUGUAAUAAAUUACUCAUUUGUCCUUUUUCCUAACUGAGGCCCCUUUCCUUCAUUUCCAUCUGUAAAUACUGAACAAAAAUAUUCAUUGAGGCAGUCAGCCAGACCUUUAUCCUCUUCUACAUACCUUCCUUCUUUUGUUUUUAUUCUAACUAAUCCUUGCUUUACUUUCCUUUUCUCAUUUAGGUAUCUAAAAAAUGUUUUGUCCCCUUUUUUACUGACUGUGCAAUUUUCUAUUCUGUGUGUGAUUUGGAAAAUCUUAUAACUUGCUUAGCCUCUUUCUGCCUAUCUUCCACACUCCACAGUGGUUUCUUGAAUUUGUUGCUUUUACAAACAAGCCUAAUGCAAUUUUCUGUGGACUUCAGCAGUGCGACUUUUAAAUAAUCCAAUUUCUCUUGGACUCCAUUUAAAUUGCUCCAGUCUGAUAAUGACUUCUUUACAAAUAUUCUAAUUUUAGAAAAGUCUGUUUUUCUAAAGUCUAAAACUUUUGUUUUUGUGUGGUGUGACUCAGUCACUGUUCUUAUAUUAAACCACAGUAACUGAUGAUCACUGGAUCCUAAACGUUCACCUACAGUAAUAUCUGAUACCAAAUCUAGUAUGGCCUCUUUACGAGUUGGCUCCUCAGCGACUUGUUUUAGAGACAAUCCCAGUAGGGAGUUUAGAAUAUGUGUGCUCCUGGCACAAGCAGCUAUUUUGGUUUUCCUGUUCACAUCAGGAAGAUUAAAGUUACCCAUGAUGAUAACUUCCCCUUUCAUUGUCAUUUUAGCUAUUUCCUCAACUAGUAGAUUAUCUAAUAAUAAAAGUAAGAGAGCGCAAUAAGAUAUUAUAAACACUAUAAAAAUUCUAUAAAAUUCAAAAAUAUCUAAAAAAAAUAUCUAUAAAUAUUUUGAAAGCAGCUAUACAUAUAAGAAAUCCCUUUUAAAUUUCACAUAAGUACAUAUAUAACAAGAAGUGUCAAGAAGAAUAACAAGAAGAAUAUUUUAUUUUGUUUGAUGUAAUAUGUAUAUGUAUCUUAACCGUGAACAUGUUAUAUAUGAUUUAUUUAUUUCUGUGAUAUAUUGUGAAAUCCCCAUUUGAAUUUUACUAUAAAAAGGAAAAGAGGAGAACUUUUAAUAGAAAGUUUAUAGAGAAGAGUUUAGUGAAUAUGACACAUUUUUCAAGUGAACUGAUGUAAGCGUAUAAAAGAGCGCUCAGAAUGGCCGCCGCACUAUCUUGAAAAAGCCCGCAAGUACAGGAGAAACGCGUUGGAAGUGCAGAUGGUGUGAGAGCCUGGUUACAGCAGCGGUCUCCAAUCCCGGCGUCUUCCCUGCCAUAGACCACUAUUCUUCGGCUUGAAUGUUCAGCCAUCACGUGGAAAACAGGAGAAGCAGAUGGUAUCGUUAACAUAAUUUAAUGUUAACAAGAGCUUUUACUGUGGUUUCUUGGAGACAAGUUCCACAACUCAUUAAUGUAAGGGUUCCUUUUUAGGGGAGAGGGUUUCUAUAUAAUGUUUUGCUUAAAGGACCACUAUAGUGCCAGGAAAACAAAUUUGUUUUCCUGGCACUAUAGUGUUAAUUGGUCCCCCCCACCCUCAUGGUCCCCCUCCCGCCGGGCUCUAGGGGGAGGAAGGGUUUAAACGUUUACCUUUCUCCAGCAGCGGCUCCCUCGGUGCUGGGGACUCUCCUCCCUCUUCCAAAGUCAUCCACCGAAUGCGCAAGCGCGGCAAGAGCCGCACUCGCAUUGAAUCAGUCCAUAGGAAAGCAUUUCUCAAUGCUUUCCUAUGGACGCAAGCGUCCAGUGAGAAGCACAGAAGUGCCUCUAGCGGCUGUAAAUGAGACAGCCAUUAGAGGCUGGAUUAACCCUAAUGUAAACAUGGCAGUUUUUCAUUGAGCUGAAGUGGUCUGGGUGCCUCUAGUGGUCCUUUAAAUAAACACAGAAUUAUGCUAUGAAGUCUUUUUUGUAUUCGUUUUUAAGGUACGAAUUACACUGUUGCAAAUAGCAAAUUCAAAGACUCUGGAUCCAGUUUUGUGUGGCAAUAUCCCCCCUCAUCUACCAUUUAUAGAACUCUGGGACAUUUAAGUUGACUUACUAGUUGAGGAACAAAAACUGUAACGUACACUGUGAUUUUGGUUGAAGAGAUUGAACAUAUUUUAUUUCACCACUGAAUAUAUAUGUAUGUAUGUUUUUUUAUGUUGCACCAUAGAGAUUGGUAGAUUACUCAGAAAAGUUAACUGAGUUUUUUGUCUACAAAUAGCGCUGACACUUCUUGUUAUGUAGUAGAUUAUCUAACUCUUCUAUUUACCCUGGGGACUAUAAAUCACACCUACACGAGUUACUGUGUCAUUACCAAAUUCUAACAUAACCCAAACGGACUCUAUGUUCACCUCACUAACUUUUAUUAGGCUAGAUUUUAUGCUAUCCUUCACAUACAGGGCCACCCCUCCCCCUUUCUUGCCUUCCCUGUCUUUUCUAUAUAAAGAGUACCCUGGUAUUGCUAUUUCCCAGUCAUUUUUCUCAUUAUACCAUGUCUCAGUAACAGCGAUUAAAUCUACACUAUUAGUUGCCAUUAUUGCCACAAGUUCAUGGAUCUUAUUCCCUAAACUGCGAGCAUUUGUAGACAUGACUGUAAUUUUUUAACACACUUGCUACAGGCACCUUCUGUCCUUGUUUUGAGGGGUAAUUGGAUUGAUGUUUUAUCACCCUUUUGCCCCUUUUGAUCUUUUGUAAGGAAAUUUAUUAUUUGGGUAGUAAUGCACACCAGGUGAUAGGCAAAUGUUUUUUGGCCAUGUUAAAGGUUUAUUCCAACCCUUUUUUGUGUACUAUUUUUUUGAAGUCUAAAUGCCCUACUGGACACUUGGCACUAAGGAAAUGAAAAAGGAAAACCUGCAAUAAAUAUUUAUAUAUAACAUUAUUUAAAUCCAGCACCACAGGCCAAGUCCUCACGAUCGUGUCCUCACCUUCUCCAUCCAUAAUCCAGAUUAAAGAACAGCGCACACAUAAAAAUACAUUUUAAAAUUUUAUAAAGCUACUUAAAAUCACCUAUCUCAGCAAACAAAUAUGGGGAUUCAGUUCCACCAUGUGUCUAUAUUGUGUUAAGCUUUGUCAAGGUACCCUAAUUCAAACGUGGCAGACAAAUAAAUAGUGCUAGUGCUAAAUAAGCAAAAGUGUAUUGUAAUAAUCUAUUGUAAGAGCAUUGUGAAUAUAUAUAAAGCAAAAUAAAUGUGAUAAACAUAAUUUACAAAAUUCAGUUUCAGAGCUAAACAAUUAAAGUGACAGUGCUUUGAUGUAUAUAAUCACAAUGCAUUUACCAUAUAUCUGCUCUAUGAAACUAAUAAAGUGACAUUACUAACCAAAACCUCCUCAAAUAUAUAGCUGUGGUCACCUCCUAAGGUGCUUCUGAAGCUGGGGGACUGGAACACUUGAAAUAAAUGAACUAGCUAGGGGUUUGUUGAGUGUCACAUUUGACUGCAUGUUAGAAAUAUGGAUAAGUAAAAAGAAUAGUCCACAAAGUUAAGAGAAGAGACCAUCGCCCUUCACAAACAAGGAACAGAAUACAAAAGAACAUGCUGCCUACAGUUUAGCAUGGUGGUGGCUCUGUGAUGCUCUGGGGCUGCUUUGCAUCCGCUGGCAAUGGGCAUCUGCAGCGUGUGGAAGGCAAGAUGGACUCAUUGAAGUAUCAGGAAAUCCUAGGAGAAAACAUCAUGCCAUCUGUGAGGAAGCUGAAGUUUGAACAUGAUUGGACCUUCCGACAAGACAAUGAUCCCAGGCAUGCCUCAAAAUCCACCAAAAUUCUUCACCAAACUUAAAUCCUAUGGACAAUCUCUGGUGGGAAAAAAAGGAGGUUGCAACACACAAAGCCAAGAAUAUUAGUGAACUGGAGGACAUUGCUCAUGAAUGAUACCAGGAACUGGUGUCAACCUAUGCAUCUCGUUUGUAGCAGGUCAUAACAGAAGAAAGGUGUUCAAUUAAGUAUUAAAGAUGCUUGCCAUGAAGGGGUUGAAUCAUUUUUGAGACUGUAGAAGUCUAAUUUUUAGUUGAAUUUGGGAAAACCACUUGAUUCAUUCAUUGUGUUGAGCUAUUUCAAUUGCUUUUGCUUUAUUUUUUCAUUGCAAACAGUUGGAAGUCUGUAAAUUUUGACAAUAAGCCUAAUCACUGACAGACAGACACACACUCAUUGACAAACACACAAACACACUCACUGACAGACACAUUCACAUUCUCUCAUACACAAUUUGCUUUAUUUUAAUUAACAUCUACUUAGCCUUCCUACCUUUGGUGUAAAGACAAAUAAAAACAUAUUAAAUGUAGGCUCUUUGUGUUAAAAAGAAGAAAGGGGGAUUUAAGAGUUACAUUAUCCAGCCUCUCAUUGUAUUUAUGUGUUAACUGUUUGUACAAUGACAUGUUUGUGUUUAGCCAAUGUAUAUUUUGUUCCAGGUCAUGUGACUGGGAUAAAAAAGAGGAAGCUAAACUUUUCCUUAUUGAGAAACUGCUUGCCAAUGCUGAAGCCAUUCUCAAGGUGAGUAAGUUUGUCAAUAGUUGUCACUUAUUUCUGAAAGCUUGAGUAAUCUGAUGUUAAAAGUAAAAUGUUUAAACCAUUUUCAAGCGAUUCCACACAAGCCAAGGAUUCCCCAGGUGCCCAUGUUCCCAAAAUUUGGAAAGUGUUGAUUGGCUGAGAAUACCCGCUGAUAAGCUCAGCUAAUCAGUGCCAUCCAGAUUUAGAGGAAAAUUGACAUUGCAAUAGCAGUACAGCAAGUAAAGGGUAUUGGUAAAGAUACCUGGAGAACCUUUGGUUUGUGUCAAACUUCUCAAAAAUGGUUUGACAGGGAAGAUGUGGGAGACACCAAUUGCUAGAUAACACCAUUACCACUACAAUGGGCUUUCGUGGUGAUGGUUUUUAGAAUACCCCAUUAAUGUGUUAAGUGCUGGUAUAAAGCAUAGUUGGGGAAAGUCUUACAAUGCCACAAAGGUUCUGGUGAAAUAGAUACAGUUAAUUGAUCUAUGCAUAUUAUGCAUAGAUAUUAUUCACAUUCAGGAGCAUGGUUAAAGAAUUAACUCCAGGCACCAUGACCAUAGUGCAAUGGUGCAUGUACUAUAUGCGCAGCAUUUCAGUAUGAAAAGCUGCCUAUACAGAGAUAAUUAACUUUGGUGUUGGAGUGUAACCCAACCUCUAACAGCAUCAUUAGCCAUCUCAGAAUGAGACUACCGGGCUGGCUAAUGUCACUUCUGUGUAUAAGAAACGUCCACUGGUAGCAUGCAUAACAUGCUAGCAACAGAUAUCCAAUGAUGACAUGGUCCCACCCAUCUUUACCGUCCUCAGGGGAAUUAACAUUGCGGAUUGGGCCUCAGUGCUGGAUAGAAAAGUACACUAACAGUUUGCUUCCUUGUUGACUAUGCAUAAAUGGAUUCUGACAUGAAGAAGUAUAUUCUCAUGCACACCAAAAAUUAUAGCUGCAGAUGCCUUGUAUCUUACCUUCAGAUGGACAAGGUGGAAAAAGGAGGAAUCUUUUCAUGAAUCACCAGUAUAUAAUGCUGAAACGUAAUAAUAUUUUUCUCAAUCUUCUACAAACAAUUUAAAAAAAAAAUCAAAAUUAUUCAAAAUUUAAAGUGUAAAUAAAACUGGGUUCAAUAAAGUUUUUUUGAUGGAGUAACCCUUGCUGGCACGGUCACCCUUCCUUUAAAAAACACAAAUGGCAAAACAUACUUGCCAGUCUGCAUUUGGCGAUGUCAUUCCCGCUUGCUGUAGAGGGAGAUAAAUCCUGAAGGCAGGACUGAGGGAGUGUUAAAGAACUGGAGCUAGAUUACAGAAAAAAACUAGAUAAAGAAUAGUUGGCCAAGAAGUCCGGGGAACAGAACAGGGGGUAACCCUAAUAGAAUUGGUAGCAAAGAAAAGAAGAAGAAGAAAUCUGUCCCUAAAAAAUAUAUAUAGAUAUAGGUAAUGUGACGAAGUGCCCUUCGCCACUUGGUCCUGGAGAGGCCUACUUGCCAGCCUCCUCCCCUGUGACUAUGACUCUUUCAUGUAUCUGGCUUUAAAGCCCCUAGUCUACCUUCAGACAGACUAUUUAUGUAGGCUGCUUUAUUUAUCUUAUGUUUUAGUCACUCUGUACCCAUUAUAGGUGCAGGGUGUGUGUAAUGUAAUUGUUUAUAAUGUGUGUGUGUGUGUACUGUGUAAUGUAUUGCCUGCUCUCUUGUAUUGCUGAGGUUUGCUACCAACUAGGUGGGUUUGGCUAUGGAGCUUGUCUAGUGCCCUCUGUUGGUAGCAACAGCAAUAUGCACUACCUGAAUUGCAAGACUGGUUCAUUUGCAUAUUCGGGUAGAUUUGCAUAUUGCUAAUUCUGCAGGCAGGUGAGAUAUUUACUGUUAAAUAUUGUCUCCCCCACCCCUUUAAAAAUGUGCCAUUGUGUUGUGAUAAGUCACUGUGUGUUGCUUGAUAUGGUUUGACUGUUUGUGAUUUUAUUGAGGUUUCACAACAAUGUUAUUGUGGUGUCCCUAUUGGCUGGUCCCAAGGGAAAUAAAGGUUUUGACAGUUCUUCUUGAUUCCUUGUCUCGUUAUUGGAGGGAGCUGUUAUAAUCACACUGGGGAUUGCUAUGCUCUGCAUGCUCCCCUGAGCUUGAGUCACUUAGCUCUUUUAAGAGCUUGUUCCUGACACGCUCUCCUGGGAGGAGGGGUCUUCACCACACAGUCCUGGAUGCUGGAGGUUCAUACAGGGUGGAAGGAAGAGUUCUUUCCCACACGGUCCUGGAGGACAGAAGCUGAUCCAGGGUGGAAGGAAGACGGCGAGACUCCAGUCAAGAUACGGCGGUUGCGGAGUCUGCAGUGGUUGCGGUGUCUGCUGCAGCGCUUGGAGUCCUCAGGAAGUGCUAGGAGCAUCCAUCAACGGAGGGUACUCAGUCGGAGUACAAGGAGCUCCGUUACAGGUAAUAACUUUAAAAUCUCAAAAAUACUUUAUUAACCCCUUCAGGAUGGAGUCAAUAGUACACGUUCUGAUCAAAACAAAACGUAAACAAAAACUGGAAUUUGCGCUAUAUGUCUGUUCACCCGUAAUUCACCGCUGUCACAUUAAGUGCACCCACACUUAUUAUAUAUAAUUUUGUUCAGGAGAAACAGGGCUUUAAUUUAUCAUUAAUUAUUUAUAUAUGGAACAUCAUUUAUUAUGAAUACAAUUGAAAAAUUUUUAGAAAAUAAGAUUUUUUUUUUAAAUUUGUAUUUCCGUCUGACAUUUUAGCUGUUAAUGUCAUAAUACUGUUAGGUAUUACUGCAAAAAAAUGCACAUAUUUGUAAUCAGCGAUGUCUCACGAGUACGACAGUACCCCCUAUUAACAGGUUUUAUGGUGUUUUGGAAAGUUACAGGGUCAAAUAUAGACUGUUCCAUUUUCAAAUUGAAAUUUGCCAGAUUAGUAAUGUUACCUUUGAGACGGUGUGGUAGCCCAAGAAUGAGAAUUACCCCCAUAAUGGCAUACCAUUUGAAAAAGUAGACAACCCAAGGUAUUGAAUGUGGGGUAUGUUUAGUCUUUUUUAGUAGCCACUUAGUCACAAACACUGGCCAAAGUUGGCGUUCAUAUUUGUUUUUGUGUGAAAAAAGCUUUCCAAACAAACAAUAUCAAAGAAUGCACACCAAAAAUAAUCAAAUCCCAAUCUCUAUUUAUUACAUACAAUUCAUAUACAAAUCAUAUACAAAUCACGUAUAAAGUACUCAUAAUGUACAUAACAGUGACUACUAGGCAAAUUGUAACCAAAAGUAUAAUUACCACAUUCCACAAGCCUAAAUGGGCAGAAACACGAGUCACAAAAGGACCCCCAACGUUUCGGCUCCUACUGGUAGCCUUUAUCAAGGGUAUCUCUAACUUUCCAAAACACAAUAAAACCUGUACAUGGGGGGUAUUGUUAUUCUUGGGAGAGUUCACUAAACACAAAUAUUAGUGUUUUAAAACAGUAAAACAUACAUUACAACAAUAAUAUAGUCCAUAAAAGUGCCGUUUGUUUGUAAAAAAUGCAAAAAACUUCACUUUUACUUAAAAUAUCAUCGUUGUAAUACAAUUUACCAGUUUGAAACACUAAUAUUUGAGUUCAGCGAAGUCUCCCGAGUAAAACAGUACCCCCUAUGUACAGGUUUUAUGGUGUCUUGGAGAGUUACAGGGUCAAAUAUAGUGCUUGCGAAUUAAAUUCUCUGCACUUUCUCCCUGUGUUGUCAGGCAUGUCAAUCAAAUUUUAAUUAAUCAAAUCACAUAAUUAUGUUAAAAGAUUACUUAAAUAUACACGUAGAAUUUUAAUAUAUAUGCAUUUAUAGGUAUUUAAAUUCUACGUGUAUACUAAUGUAAUCUUUUAUGUAAUUAUAUGUAUUUAUCUAUAAAUAUAGAUUUGCGGUUAUUUGUAUUUUAUAGAUAGAUAGAUAUAUAUAGAAUGUCAUUCUAAGUGUAUUUUGUUACCUAUAUAUAUAUUAAUAACAAAAUACAGUUAGAAUGAAAAUUACAUAUGAAUAUAUAAUUUUAAUAAAAUUUUGUUUCAAUAUUUUAUUUAUUUUAUUAUUUUAUUUAUUUAUUAAUGUAAUUAUACGUAUAUAUAUAUAUAUAUAUAUAUAUAUAUAUAUAAUAUAUGUGUAUAUAUCUAUUUUAUAUGUAGAAAGGCCAUUAGGCCUGAAUUUGUGGGAGGAGUAAGUCCCCUACUUAAGCUCCCAGCCCCUACUCACCGCUGCCGCUCAGCUGAUUGUCCUUAGCAACCAGCACUUCCGGUCCAGCUUCCCGCCAGAACUGUACCUGUUUCCAGCAGCCAGACGCCCUGUGCAAUCCUCCGUCCGUCCGAGGCCCUUCCACUCCGUUUCCCUCCGGUCGAGGUACCCGACUUCCGGUCACGAGACCGGCGCGUUCACGUAAGCAAGGCGUGGGAAUUAGCGUUCGCUUUUUCCCCGCCGUUCGGGCCUAAAAACGUAGGGGUAGGCUCCCUCUUUCGCAUUUUCACGAAUACACGCUUUCGUUUAUAUCUCCAUUCGCGCCAAAAAACGCACGAACGUUCGGCUCAUUUCGCUAUCGUUUUACGCUUUUUCGUACGGAAACAACCGAAUAAAUAUUUCAUGUUUAAGCUCAUUAUUAUCUGUAUUCACUUUUCCGUUCGGUUAUUUCAGCAUCAACCUAUUCGUAUGGUUAAUUCACGUACACCAUCUUACUAAUUUACAUUCGGUUAUUUCUAUUCUUUUAAGAUAAGCUGGCAUAAGUUCUAAUCACAGUCCUACUAUUAUUUAUUCCUUCAUAUGAGUUUGCGGUUACAUUAUAUGGUUAACUACCAGCCAUGUGUUUUUCUACCUUGUUAAACCAUUUAAAGUAUUUUUCUGUUAUAAACAUUAUAUUCACCACGGUUCAUAACUUCAUACGUGUCUAAAUUCAAGCUAUAACAUUCUUUCCUAAUAACACUCAGAUAAGUCUUUUUAAACACUAUUUACAAGUUAUACCCUUUACACAUAAUCCGUACUAUUCCUUGCACAUAAAUCACGCUGUCACAUCUUUUGGCUUUUACAGAUUGCAUCUUGGUUGCAUUUGCAUUUCUUGGUUAAACCCUUAGAUCCUUGUAUUAAUCUAAGCUUCCACCGUUUCUACGCAGUUAACCUGCCACGAUUAAACAAGCUCUGUACUUUAAACAAAGGUAUAGUUCACUCUCUUUUCAAUACUAGACCUCACGCGGUCUCAACUCCAUUACUACCUUCCCUCAGGCUUACGCCCAGGAUACGUUAUCUCUUUACUACUUGUCUACACAGACUUUCGGUCAUACGGCCACCAGGCUCAAGAAGACACCAAAUCCUGACACGGUACUCAGCCAUACCUUCAGGUACUUACAUCCUUACUCAAGUACGUCCAUUCGCUACCCCAAGGCCUCAUUCUGCCUUCUCACUCAUAUCCAAAAUCAUCCCAUUCCUACACCUAAACCUCCCAGAUCCCUCAAUGCAGGAUCUCACGUCGUGCCCCUAACAAACCUUCUCCCUAUACUAUUCAUACGACAUCACAAUACGUAUAAACACAUCAAGAUCUGUCUUAAACCCCCAGGAUUCUUCCUCAAAGACAACAUUUAAGACAAGACUCUCUACACUUACCAGGAGGCUCCAGAUACCAUUUGCGACCAGUCAAGGUUAGUAUCCACACACCAUUCCAGUCCUCUAACUUUACCCUUUAGCAUACUAUCGAACUGGCUAUACGGCACAGGCUAAUGCCUUAGCCCACCCUAUCAGGAAAUCUGAUCCCGCGAGGCCUACCACCCCCACCCCACCUCAACACGGAGGUACGGCCCCACGCCCAAAUCAUAGUUAUAAGCCUCGCAUGCCUUACUAUAGGGCUCUAGUUAGGGCCUCACCUGUCACGGCCACACGUUUUGAUUUCUCUUAUCGUCACCGAGAGGCCAACAUCCCGCCACCACGUCUGUGGCACCUACGUCAUAAGCCAAAUCAUAGGUAGAGCCUCUCAUCGCCACUUGGCAUUAGCAGGGCCUCACCUAUCCAGUCAUUCAAUAGUUAAGUUUUUCGCCUCGGCAUCUAGCAUUAAAGUCCAGUUCUUCAAGACUCACCACUCCCCAUACCCCCCCUUCUUACCUCACUCCCCUUCUAAUAUAUCUUUCACAUAAUCAUUCCUUUUUAGAAUGUCCCAAGAACCAAUUCCAACCGAAGAACUGACAGAAGAAGCACCAUUCACGCCAAUCAGACCCGUGUCUCCAGGCGAAUCACUCACUCUUUCAACCCCCACGUCCUUGAGAGCAUGGACUAUUCCCAAAAUCACAGCCGAGCUUAGGCUCAGGGGAAUCCCCUUUCCGGCCACAGCUAGAAAGGCAGAACUUUACAGGCUGCUUACCCACCAAGUCCCCGAGCCUCGGCCGGGAACUAGCUCUCAAGGACAACCACCAAGUAACAGCACGGCCACCCAGGAUACCCUGGCAGAUAUCUUGGCCAAUCUACAGGCCCUCAAUAGCAGGCUGUCUAAGGUGGAGAGCGCCAUCUCCUCCUCAGGUACUAACACCGUAGUCCCAGUCUCUACCACGGCUGUACCUGCCAUACCUUCAUGUCCCUCUAUACUCCCCCCUCCAGCACCUGGCACAGCCAUCACACCUUUCGAGUCACCAGCACACUCCGUCCCAGAUUCUAUCAGGAAAGAUAUCCUUGACGGGAAGGAUGUGUGUCUGGUGUCUUUACUCAUAGCCUCUCAGGAUGUACUCGAGAACAAGGCAUACAAUUAUGGUGACAUCUCUGUUGUGCUUAAAACGAGGGAUCCCAGGCUUAAUAAAAAAUUGUCUAUCCCACAGUUUGUGAUAGCUUUCGGGAUAUACCGCGACGUCAUUUGCACGGUGUAUCCCCAUAGGAGAGAAGAGCUAGAUCUCUAUCUCCACAAGGUAGUGGAUCUAGGCAUCAAGUACGGGGGCUCUUCCUUCUAUGACUACCACAAGUCAGUCUCAGCGAAGGCGGCGACCCAUCUCAAGCAGUUCAACAUUAGAAUGAACUGGGGUCAGAUGGACACUGAACUUUUCUGUCGCCACUUCGCCGGACUCAGGCCCCCGGCUUGUGCCAUCUGUAAUUCCACAUCCCACAUGGCGGACUUAUGUCCCGUCGAACCAGAUCCCACCACCUCCACUCUCACCCCUCACCCCACGUUCACACCUCACUCCUCUUUCACCCCUCACAAGCCAGCGGGUGGUCUCCGGGAUAAGCUGGGUAGGCCCAUCUCCUUUUUAGGUAAAGCACAGGUGUGCAAUAAUUUCAACGCAGGCUCCUGCAGUUUCAGCGCCUGUAGACUAUUGCACAUCUGCUCCAUAUGUUUCAGGGCACAUACCAAGACCAUGUGUCCAGCCAGGUUGUCACCAAACAAAUGACUAACCGACAUAAAUAUCGACAACCUGGUUUUUUAUCUAAGGUGUCACCCCAGCAGGCACUUAGUGGAUUUUCUCACCACAGGUUUUUCACAAGGGUUUCACACAGGCAUAAUAGCCAUUCCCCCAGGUACACUAGAAUGUCCUAAUCUCCAGUCUGCACGUUUAGACCCAGUCGCUGUAGACACUCUCAUUUCCGCAGAAACCACAAACGGUUUCAUGAUCGGUCCUUUCACCUCUUCACCGUUUUCCUCCUGGCGCACUAACCCUAUUGGUAUUGCUAUUCACAAAUAUUCUAAUAAAAAACGUCUCAUUAUCGAUUUAUCGGCACCGCACUCCUCUUUUGUUCCAAGCAUAAACGCACUCAUUCCAGCAGACGAAUUCUCUCUGCAGUACGUCACCAUCGACGACGCUAUACAGUCUAUCAUGACAUCUGGUAAUCGACCCUGGCUCAGCAAAACAGACAUCACUAACGCCUUUAAAUUACUGCCCAUACACCCCUCACUCUGGCACUUACACGGUGUUAAAUGGCGAGGGUAUUAUUACUUCUCAACACGACUCACUUUUGGUUCCCGAAGCAGCCCCAAACUUUUCGACAUUUUCGCUGAGUCACUAUGCUGGCUGCUUCUGAAUGUCAUCAGGUGUCACUCCGUUAUUCACUAUCUAGAUGACUUUCUACUGAUAGAGCCAGGGUCAUCAACACCCACAGCAAUCAAUAGUACUACCGCACUUUUUUCCACACUUGGAGUCCCUUUGUCCCCAGCCAAAACUAUAGGACCCACCACAAAGUUGACCUUUUUAGGCAUAGAGCUCGAUUCUGUCAAACUCAGAGCUAGCCUUCCACACGACAAACUUUCACGAUUGAGAGGGGAGAUAGACACGUUCCUGCGGAAUGACGUUUGCACCAGGAGAGAACUUCAGUCCCUUCUUGGAUCUCUGAACUUCGCCAUGCGCAUCAUUCCGCAGGGAAGGUCUUUUAUUUCCAGACUUCUUUGCCUGCUCCAUGGAGUCCCAGACUCCGGCACAGUUUCUUUGGACCCCCACGCCAAGGCUGACUUGGCUAUGUGGGGGAAGUUUUUGAAAGACUGGAAUGGUAUCUCCAUGUUUAUCCCCCCUCUCUCCACCUCUUCACCCAUCAUCCACACAGACGCAGCAGCCAACACCGGUUUCGCAGCCAUUUUUGGGAACCACUGGUUUAGGGGCCACUGGCCCACUGAGACGGAUGCCUUGCCAGGAUUCAGGGAGACCUCAACCCUAUUUGAAAUUUACCCCAUUGUGGCGGCCGCACACACCUGGGGUCAUCUCUGGUCCGGCAAGGCAGUAAAAUGCUACUCAGAUAACUCGGCAGCUUGCGAUAUUAUUAACAAAGGGCGCUCAUCAUCCCUAACCAUCAUGCGGCUGAUUCGCAAGUUGACCUGGCUGGCAGCAUCCAAUCAGUUUCACUUAGUAUGUUCUCAUAUCCCGGGUAUUCACAACACCGCCGCUGACGCUCUUUCUCGUUCUCGAUUCCAGGCAUUUUCUCAGGCACUCCCAGCAGCUCACCAUCAGCCAUCCAGGACACCACGGUUUCACGAACUAAUAUUGGAUUAAGCACACUCUUGCUUCACGCUAGAUCACUCACUCACCAAGCAUUAUCACCCAACACUGCUAUCACUUACAAUAGGGCACUUAACAUAUUUAAUAAAUUCACUGCAGAAUUCGGGCUACAAGGUGACUUUUCUAUCCAAACCAUGGUGUCUUUUGCCUCUUUCUGCCACCUACACCUUAAUCUGUCACACAACACCAUUAAACUUUACCUCACCGGGGUUCAGCACCACAGCCUCACCAAUUUUCCUAACAGCACCCCCUUUUUGUCUUCAUACCCCAUAAAAAGGUCUUGAAAGGUAUAUCUAAGGUUUCACCACCACUCGCAAGCACUAGAUUACCCAUAGACGGGCCUAUCUUCAGGUCUCUUAGCAAUCUCCUUGACACAGCCCCAUUUGAUAGCUACACCAAUACGGUGAUAAAAUCUGCCAUAUAUCUCGCUUUCUACGGUUUUCUCAGACCUAGAGAGUUCACAGUGAUUUGUCAAGGAGAUAUCGCACAAUGCCUUAAAACUUCACACCUCACCAAGGUAGAGGAUCACUACCUCCUCUCUAUCCCUACCACUAAAACCAACCGGUCAAUACAUCCUACAAUAAUUCCUCUCUUCCCUACUGAUAAUGCCUGGUGUCCGGUGAAAGUUCUCGACCAACUACGGUCUACUUUUUGCACUCACCUGCCAGACUCUCCGCUCUUAACAUUACAAGGACACCCGCUUACCACGGCAAAAUUGAUGUCACAUGUCAGAACCCUGUUAUCUAAGCUCGGACACAAUCCGGCUGCAUUCUCCGGGCACUCCUUCCGCAUAGGAGCCGCCUCAGCAGCCUCAAGCACAAACGCACCGGUCCACAUCAUCAAAAGGCUCGGGCGAUGGAAAUCCUCCAUAUAUAACGCAUAUAUUCCGCAACCAGAGAAAGAGCUUCGCCAAGCUUUCAGAAACUUGGUCUUGUAAAAUGCAAUAAAGUGUGUAUUUUCUCGAAUUUAUCUUUUUGCCCUCUUUUAUUUACAGGCCCACUCGUACGUUGGUUUCGGCACACCACAACCAACUUUGCUCACAGUUACUAUCCAUCACGUAUUUAAAUUCCGAGCACAAGUAGAAAGGCCAUUAGGCCUGAAUUUGUGGGAGGAGUAAGUCCCCUACUUAAGCUCCCAGCCCCUACUCACCGCUGCCGCUCAGCUGAUUGUCCCCACCCACCUACACCCUGUUUUAACUACAUUAUCCUUGGUGGGCCCUCUUUUAUUUACAGGCCCACUCGUACGUUGGUUUCGGCACACCACAACCAACUUUGCUCACAGUUACUAUCCAUCACGUAUUUAAAUUCCGAGCACAAAUAUAUAUAUAUAUAUAUAUAAUAUAUAUACAUAUUAUAUAUAUAUAUAUAUAUAAUAUAUAUACAUAUUAUAUAUAUAUAUGUAACGUCAUUCUAAGUGUAUUUUAAUAUUAAUAUAUAUACUAAUAUUAGUAUUAAAAUACACAACGUAUAACGUUUUAUAUAUAUAUAUACAUAUAAUAUGUAUAUAUAUUAUAUGUAUAAUAUAUAUACAUAUUAUAUAUGUUUUAAGGCCAUUUGGCCUGUAUUUGUGGGAGGGGCUUAAAUUAAUUCACUCCCCUAUAUAAGGGACACCCCUUACCUGACUCAUAUCGCUUGAGGUCAGCAUCAGAAUGAUUUCCACUUCCGGGUCAUCCAGACGCCAUUUUACCUGAUUACUCCAUGAGGUUUUCUAAGCUGAGCUGUGUCAGGAAUUCAGCCACAGGCUUUUCCGGCCUACCACCUUCUUUCUUCAUUCUAUCGCUGUGGAUGGUGUCCAAGUGACUCACAAACCGUAAGUCGACCUACCCGUUACGCCAGGCAUCAGUCCCACGGCACCAUGCACGGGUCAGGUCCUCACUUUACGGCUGCAUUUUGUUUAAAUCUGUCCUAAAACCAUUGGAUGUUCAUGCAUAUCAUUCGUUUAAAUUCACUUGUUUAUAUCUGUCACUGGCUAAUUUCGAGCAUUAGCAUACUCCCAAACGGGAACACAUUCUGUUUCAAUUGCCUAAACAUACUAGGCAAUUCUGUGCGUGCAUUUCGAAUAUCACUGCUCAUUUUGUUUUGUUUCCCUGACAUACCAGGCUCACGGUUCGUGCAAUUUUCUACCAAACGGGUACUAGUUCAUGCAUUUACUAUUGUAAUACACACACGCUUCGUGCAUUUACAACCCACGAACAGAACUUUGGUUUGUUACAAUGACUGUUAUUAAGCUAUUAUGUUCACUUAUUGUAUAUUGUCAAACGGGCACUUUGUUUCCCUGUCACACAACUAUAAUGCUGGGGCAUAGCUCACAAACAAUGUUUCACAUAAACCACACUGACCCCUACAGGUCACUCUCAAAAUCUCACGUUAACCUUGCAUUUGGAUUAACCCUUUAAGGACCAAACUCUGGAAUAAAGGGAAUCAUGAUAUGUCACACAUGUCAUGUAUCCUUCAGGGGUUAAAGGGUAUUUUACCAUACAAUCAGCAUUUCUGACCCCUACUGGUCAACAGCAAAACUGUCUUCACAUGUCAUAUACAAUUACCAGCCAAUAUAAAUUACACAUAAGAUUGUUUUAAACAUAAACUAUGAAUUAAACUCCAACACAGGCUCAACUUCAGGUUUAAUUCACAAUAAUUUACAUUUCACAUUAAGACUAACAGUGGUUCUAUCAACACUGCCACCUACAGGUCUGUCAAGUACAUUGACAAUUUUCAUGGGGUUUUUCAUGGGGUUUUACAAACACCAAAACACUGACCCCUAUUGGUCAACAGACAAACAACAUUUCACAUACCAAUCAGUAUCAACUACACUGCCACCUAUAGGGCACUCGGCAGAUCUCCAGUGCACUUGCAUUUUGCAACUCCAUGUUCACUUGCCAUUCAAUAAGGCAUACAACAAUUCACAUAGCAAGCAGUAUAUCAAUAUCUGUUAUAAAUACACAUAUUAUUACACAGUAGCACACGCAUCUGUAUAUACGUAACUGGUAAUAUGGUUCACAUACAUACGGCACUUAAUGGGUUAAGAUUGAUACAUAUUUAACCAGUAUGGAUAUGAUGUUUAAUAUUUACAUAUCAUGGCACUUUACUUUCACAUAUACUGUAUGUUUUAAGAUAAGCUUGGUCUAUGCCAUAUUUCCUUAUGCCAUACGAUUUUAUCCAUUCAGGUUACAGUUACUACUAAAAAACCUAUACGGAUUGUCAGGUUCAAUACCAACUACCAGGUACGUACACCUGCUCACGUAGUUAUCCAUCUCUUACCUUCCCUGGAAUAGUAAUAGUGUACCGGCAAUUAGGGUUCUAGGGCCCAAUAGGUAUUACCCCCUUUUUUCUCUGCAUUAUGCUUCGGUUAGUGGUCCCGCGAGGCCAACACCCCGCCUCACACUCGGAGGCAUACACCCCUCGGGCCACUCGUGAGCUAGCCGCCUCGCAUUGUAUCAUAGAGAGGGCCUCACCUGUCACUCCCCUUCCUAUUUUUCUGGUUACUGUCACCGAGAGGCCAACAUCCUGCCACAACGUUCGGUGGCCACACAAAAUCCCCUCGCGCCAAGCAUAGAUAGAGCCUCUCAAGCCACUUGGCAACUAGCAGGGCCUCACCAGUCACCAAAUAACACCAAGCCUAAUCGUUUCGCCUUACGGCUUAGCUAGCAUGCCGGUACAAGACCCCUGGGUACAAAUAUCUAAUUGCAAUCUUUAUUGUUAUUUAAGUAUUUCUCAAAAAGAUGGUGAAGAAUCACCUCUUCCUAGCACCACGGCUAGAAGUGAUACACCUUCAUCUCUUACCUUCCCUGGAAUAGUAGUAAUGUACUGGCAAUUAGGGUUCUAUGGCCCAAUAGGUAUUACCUCCUGUUUUCUCUGCUUUACGCUUUGGUUAGUGGUCCCGCGAGGCCAACACCCCGCCUCACACUCGGAGGCAUACACCCCUCGGGCCACUCGUGAGCUAGCCGCCUCGCAUUGUAUCAUAGAGAGGGCCUCACCUGUCACUCCCCUUCCUAUUUUCUGGUUACUGUCACCGAGAGGCCAACAUCCUGCCACAACGUUCGGUGGCCACACAAAAUCCCCUCGCGCCAAGCAUAGAUAGAGCCUCUUCAAGCCACUUGGCAACUAGCAGGGCCUCACCAGUCACCAAAAAAAAAAAAAAAACACCAAGCCUAAUCGUUUCGCCUUACGGUUUAGCUAGCAAGCCAGUACAAGACCCCUGGGUACAAAUAAUAAUUGCAAUCUUUAUUGUUAUUUAAGUAUUUCUCAAAAAGAUGGUGAAGAAUCACCUCUUCCUGGCACCCCGGCUAGUAGUGAUACACCUUCAAGCAGAGGAGAUGUGGCUCCGACCUAAGGAGGCGACAAAUCCCCUACCCUGCCACAGCAAGGAAAGCAGAGUUAUUCAAACUCCUCCAUACAGCAACGGACAACACGGAAGUAGGGGAAGGCCCAGCAACACCAACUCAGGUGACACCCAGGCCAUGCUAGCCUCACUCAUAAACUCAUGAGCCAAAAAAUUUACGACAGACUGGCAAUCUCGAGUCAGUCACAGCCCUCACAAGGCUGGGCCUCACGCUACUGUACAACCAGCACCAACCGAAACUCGGUUACUUGGUUCAAGACGUUAACCCUGCACAUAUGAUCCCGGCACAUUGGGGAAACAAGGCAUAUAUAUGUAUGAUGAUGUAUCUAUGAUGGUCAGACCCAGGGAUUCUAGGUAAAUCGGGAACUGACCAUCCCUUGGUUGUGCUGGCAUUUGGAAUAUGUAGAGAUGCUUAUUUGUGCAGGUACCCAUCCAGAAGGGAUUUUCUCCCAAACAAAUGGGCGAGCACUCUCAGGCUCCAGGUACCAGCACCUCUGAACUACCAGAGACAAUUGAUAUUAGUAGUUGCAUUGCAUAUAGACUGUUGCAUAUAUGUUCAAAUCAUUCAGGGCACAUGACAAACCAUGUGUCCCAAUACAACUUACAAAUAACGUACUCACCAUCUGUACACACCAAUGCAUUUUCAACACUACUGACUCAUCACCCUUCCAGACUUGUAGUAGAUUUACUAAGGCUCUGGAGCUUCAAAGGGCUCCCAUACAGGUAUCAUAAAUAAACUCUCAAGGAAUAUAGUAUGCCCUCACUUACAGUUAGCACAGCAGAACCGUCGGCUGUAAACACACUCAUAGCCAAGAUUUGCAGAGGGGUUUUUACUUGGGUUUUCCAAUCUCCACCAUUUACAGCAUGGCACCAAACACAAACACAUUGGUAUUGUCACAAGGGAAUCUUCCCUUAAACAAAGACUAACCAUAGACUUAUUGGCACCACACACCUUCGCUACCCCAAGUCUCAACUCCCUCAUACCCUCCGAGGAGUUUCCUUACUAUACACACCAUUGAUCUACCUUUACAGCUAUCACUCAAGCAUGGGUUGAAGCUUCGUUAAGUAAGACCAAUAUCAUCAACACAGUAAACUGCUACCAUCUACCCUACAAACUGGCACUUACAUGGCAUAAAAUGGGCAAUCCUAUCCCCGCUAAAAGCAGCUGCUGUGGCAUGGGGUAAAUCAUGGUCAGGGUCAUCAAUCCGUUGUUACUCAGACAACUAAGCACAUGUCAUAUCAUCAACAAAUGCCACUCAUCAUCCAUACGAUCAUGGUAUUGCUGGGGAACUCACUUGGUUGGCCACUAACCACAUUUCUUUUACUUUCAUGUACCAGGCGGGGGUAUACAUCCUUGCCGACAAUUGUCUCAUUUAUAUUCCAGGCACGUUCAUCAUACGCUUCCUACAGCCGCCCAUACAGUCACGGCCACUCUUUCGUUCCAGAGACAAAAUCAUGGAUUAGACAUACUCAUGCAACAUAGCAUGCACUAUCCCACCUAGCACUUUCAUCCCAUACUUGUAGACCGCAUAACACCUAUUCACCUGGCUUUAAAGAAUCUCAUUGGAACACGACAUAGCUCAAUCUGUGUCAUAACAUUUCUCCUAGGUUUUGCUUCAUUUUUUGCCACCUUAAACUAAAACCAUCUCACACACCAUUAAUUAUAUAUUUUACAGGCAUUCAACAACACAGGAUAACCUAUGGCCAAAACUACCAUAACUUCAUGAUAUCAUACCAGACAAGAAUAUACUCAGAGGUUUUCAGGAAUCCAUCCCCCCACGUUCCUCUCAGAUAUUACCAAUAGCCAUCCAACUUUUCCAUCCUUAUCGGACCUAUUAGAGCUACAACCAUUCAAUUAUACUACCAAGUUGGCCAUUACCACCAUGCACACUGCCUUUUAUGCCUUUCUCAGGCCAGAGAAUCCACUACCAUAACCACCACUCAGACAGAUCAUUGUCUUCAACGAUCCCACGUAUGUAAACACAUAUAUCAUUACCUAUUGGCACUACCACAUUCCGAAACGAGUCAACACGCACCAACAGUAGAGAUAACAUACUAUCCUACCCACAACAAAUGGUGUCCAGUUGCGGUCCUAGAUUCCUACCUUCAAAAAUCCUUCCAGGAAUUAAAUACCGUAAUGCAUUUAAGGAAAUGUCUGGUUAAUUUGUAUAUAUUGUUGACUGUAUUAAAUCUUUGAUUAUUCUUUUUGCCCUCUUUAUUUACAGGCCUACCGUAUCGUCGGUCUCGGCACACCACAACCGACUUGCUCCCUUUAUACUAUCCUACGCUUAUGCUGGAACCUUACUCCAUAUACGGCUAUUUGCCCCGAACACAAGUUUUAAGGCCAUUUGGCCUGUAUUUGUGGGAGGGGCUUAAAUUAAUUCACUCCCCUAUAUAAGGGACACCCCUUACCUGACUCAUAUCGCUUGAGGUCAGCAUCAGAAUGACCCUCCCACCCACUCCUCAUUUCAACACUUUCUCUUUUCUUUCCAUUUACUUUACUUACUUACUCCUUGGUGGGCCCUCUUUAUUUACAGGCCUACCGUAUCGUCGGUCUCGGCACACCACAACCGACUUGCUCCCUUUAUACUAUCCUACGCUUAUGCUGGAACCUUACUCCAUAUACGGCUAUUUGCCCCGAACACAAAUAUAUUUUUAUUUUUUUUAUUUUUUACACGUUUAUUUUUUUUUUUCAUUUCCCACCAGCAGGGGGACUGUCUGAUAUUUCAGACAGUCUUCCUGCUGGCAGAUCCAUAGCCAGCUAUAGGGGGCCAUGUGAUCGCUCUUUGAGAGCGAUCACAUGGCCCCCGGGGGCCUCAUUCACCGGGGGAGGGCUGCCUGGGCGGUCAGGCAGCCCUCCAGAAGAGGAUCGCAGUGGAGGUAAGUAGCUGCGAUCCCCUGGGGCUGAAAGCCGUUAUGGUUAAAGAGUCAUUAAUGAUGACUUGCAUUAUUAGGAAAAAUUAUAGACUGAUCAGGAAAUUAGCCCAGUGGUAACAAUUUAUUAGUGUAUAAAUGGUGUAUAAUUGAAUUCUUCAUUCAGACCGAGGGGAGCCAGGGUCUUAAAUGAAAAAAAAUCCAUUGAGAUUCUUUUCAUAGCAGAACCUUAUUAAAGUCACCCUUUCUUGGGUUAGGCAGUAAUUUUUCAAUGGCUUGGAAUCUCAAGUUGUCAGGUUUGCCAUCAUGGAAAUUCAGAAUAUGUCUUGCCACCGGAAUGGGUGUGACAAUAUUAUUGAUGGAAGUUACAUGUUGCAAAAUUCUGCGUCUAAACUGUUGAAAAGUUUUUCCAAUAUAUUGGAUUCCACAGCUGCAUGUAAUUAGAUAGAUUAUUCGUGUGGUACUGCAGUUCACCAAAGCAUUUGUAUCUAUAGUGAUGUGAGUUUGUGUGGAUGUGGUUGAUUUGGAGGGCAAGAUAUACUGACAGGCCUUGCAAUGCCCACAUUUGUAGGUUCCCUUAGUAUUUGUUAACCAAUUUGUAGCAGGCAAAGGGGAUGCUAGGUGACUCCGAACAAGUUGAUCUUGUAGAUUACUCGGUCUGCGUGCUGUUAAUGGUGGGUGUUCUGGUAGUACUUUAAGGAGUACAGGGUUGUGUAAGAGUAUUGGCCAAUUUCUUUUCAGAAUCUUGGACAUAGGUCCCCACCCCGGUCAAAAGUGGCGAUACAACGUGGGGCUUUAUGUUCCAAUUUUGGUUUGGUAAAAUGAAGACUAGAGUUUCUGUCCAUAUCACACACCCGAUGGAAAGCACUCUUCAAAACAUGGUUGGGAUACCCCAGUUCCUUAAAACGAGAUCUUAAUAUUUUAUAUUCAUUGUAAAAGGUUUGAUCUACUGAGCAGUUGCGCCUUGCCCACAGGUACUGGCUGUAAGGGAUGGAGGCUUUUAAUUUGUGAGGGUGGUGGCUAUCCCAGUGUAACAACCUGUUCGUGGAGGUGGCCAGCUCAGUUUAUUUAAUUAAUUUGUUCACUUUUGUGUGUCAUUUCUCACUUCCCUUUCCCUUUAUUUCCCUUUAUUUGUGUUCCUUACUUAGAUAACUGUAAUUAACUCGCAAUCUUGAGUCAGGUAGCUACUGUCAGGGUUUGUUUUGCAAAGUAUAUGUGAGUCUUUUUUGUUUAAUAAAGUAUUUUUGAGAUUUUAAAGUUAUUAACUAUAUCUAUAUAUAGUUUUUAGGGACAGAUUUCUUCUUCUUUUCUUUGCUAUAGUAAAAAACUAGUUGCAGAGAAAGCAGGGUCUAUACUGACGAACAAUAGAACAAACAACCAAAAGUUAACAUUUUAUGGGGGGGCGGGGCUUGACCGCCAAGCUGGAUGGACGUGGGGCACCUCGGCUCCGUUAAGAACCCUCCAUAAAUGGCUUAAAAUUACCCUUUCUCACCUGCAAAAACCCUCAGCUGCUGAGAGGGAAAAGGGGACCUGACCAACAACCCUCGGUGCCUGCUGGCGACACGGACUGAAGGGCAGAUGGGUUUGCUGCCUGCUGUGAGGCUCUGGCGGGAGAAGCGGCCGAUCUCCCAUGCUUAGUCCGGCAGGAUCACUCGCACGCCUACUGAGGCCCCGUUACCCCCCUGUGGGCCGGGGGGGUUAUCCCGGACCCCACCGGGGAGGCAGUGGUUACUUGGGACACCUAGGUGGCAGAAAGACCAUCCGGGGACCGCAUGACAAAAAUUAAAAUGGCCACCGCGCUAAUUGAGAGACAGAGAAGAGAGGAGGAAGCACCAGAACAAUGGCUCGGCACCGUCUCCUGACCGGAGCAGAUCAGAACACCGUAACCUGACAGCAGCCAGAAGACAAACGGCGAGCUCCUUCCGCACAUCGGAUAAUUUUACAAGGGUAUACUCCACAUGCAAGCUCAGCUUACCACCAAGAGAACACUCACACCGUCCGAGGCCUCACCUGUCACUAACACCAGCGGGUAUGUGGGGACUAUAAGGACUCUGACCUUGCCAACAUUUAGGGGAACAACUAACAUAUAAGCUCCAUUCCACUCCUGGAUGACAAGCCCCAAACACUGACAUAAUCUGCCAAAAUCACAAGGAACUUUGACACUCCAAAGGACACCAGACUUAGCACAGCUGCAGGAAUGAUUAAGCAGAUGCUAAACAUGUAUACCUAAAGUUAUAGUAGAUAAGAGUAUACCCCUUAACUUAGCACCCCACUCAUAAUAUCACUGUGUGCUUACUACAGCAGGUUCUCCUCUUGCAGCUCCCCACAGAAAGCAUUUAAAACGCCUGAGCCUGCAUGUGUACCCGGCAUUCUACUGUCCCCUGGUGGUUAAAUUCUACUAAGCGUAUAGAAAUCUGUACUUGCUUUUAAUAUGCAUAGCCUGUAACUCAAUAACUAUAUAACCACACAUGUAUAGCCUAGUUACAAAAGUUUUACCCACUUGUACUAAGCCUGUUAUAUCUGUUAAAAACUUAAAUGUGCUGUUUACUCUGCCAUGACAUUGUGAGACACUGAAAUAGCUUGUGCACGCCGUCGUGGCGCCGCAUGUUGUAAUCUUCUGCACAAGAAAAAUAAAGAAUUUAAAAAAAAUGUUUUUACUUUUAUUGUAAACAAUGUAAAAACUGUUUAUAUUAAAAAAACAAUAAUAAGUUAGUUCGAUGCAAGUUGUGUGUUCUUGAUAUCCUAUGUUGCUUAGAUGCUGUAGAAACAUUAGCCAAUGGUGUGCAGGGAAACUCAAGUGUUAUUUAGUAUUUAUGUGAAUAUAAUUUGACACUUGUAGAAUAACUUAGCUGUCAGUUACAAAGACAGAUCACCACAGAGUGAAUAAUUGUAUCAGAGAACAGAAACUGCAAGCUAUGUUACAGAAAGUAUAACCCACAGAGAAGGCACCUGAACAGCAGCUAAACUAUUGACAAUUCUGUUCCGCACUAAAAUAAAAUGUCCCUAGUCGGCAAUUAGCCACUAAAAAGAUAGACAGGGUAGAGAAUAACUGUUGGUCUUAAUCAAAAGUCACAUACAGAAUCUAGAUGGAUAGAAUGACCAUAGUGGACACAGAAGAUAGACCCGUUGGAAACAGGCCCCCGGCGAUUGUUUCACUGAUCAGGUGUCUCAUCAUAUGGGACAGACGGUGCAAAAUACCAUACGCAUGAGAUUGGUUGCAGAAUUAACUAACAGAAGCCAAUUAUAGAAAAUUAUGAAAUGACCACCAGUCAAACUUCUGGAUUGGCAAUGAUUCUGAUUGACACAAUAAGAGGAAGAGUGGAAAGGUUGAAUUGGAGGACAAACAAAAUGCCUAUGAGGAAGGAGAUACACUCAAAAGCCAGUCCAAGACAGUCCUAAACAGUCGAUGAUGUUACAACAAAGUAAUCACAAGUAUAACAGAGUAACAUGAGGAAAAAAUAUUCCAAGACUUUUACAGAGUGCAGGGAAUCAGUCAAGCAUGUGAAGAUCCACAUUGAGUUAUAAUUGUGAAAGAGGAUUUCUGAGUAAACAUAGUGGAAAAUAUUAUGGGGAAUAAUUCCACACCAAAAAUACAUAUAUGCCAUUUUAGUAAACAAAUGACUCAGUAAUAACAACUAUUAAGUGACUAGCAUACUAUAUUAAAGGACCACUUCAGUGCAAGGAAAACAAACUAGUUUUCCUUGCUCUAUAUGGUCUUCUGGGGGCCCCCCCCCCACCCUCUGGAUCCCAGUCCUGCCAGUCUGAAGGGGGAGGAAGUGGUUAAACACUUACCUUUCUCCAGCGCCGGGCUCCCUUGGUGCUGGGGACUCUCCUCCCUCUUCCAACGUCAUCCACUGAAUGCCCAUGUGCGGCAAGAGCCGCGCACGCAUUCAGUCAGUCCAUAGGAAAGCAUUUCUCAAAGCUUUCCUAUGGACGCUGGCGUCUUCUCACUGUGAAAAUCACAGUGAGANNNNNNNNNNNNNNNNNNNNNNNNNNNNNNNNNNNNNNNNNNNNNNNNNNNNNNNNNNNNNNNNNNNNNNNNNNNNNNNNNNNNNNNNNNNNNNNNNNNNAGCGCGGAAGCGCCUCAAGCGGUUCAAUGAGACAGCCACUAGAGGCUGGAUUAACCCUAAUGUAAACAUAGCAGUUUCUCAAAGUGAACAUUGCUUCUAACCCUUAAAAAGCAGCAGUAGCGCGAUAAAUUUUAAAAAUAUUUUGGGCUCCCCNNNNNNNNNNNNNNNNNNNNNNNNNNNNNNNNNNNNNNNNNNNNNNNNNNNNNNNNNNNNNNNNNNNNNNNNNNNNNNNNNNNNNNNNNNNNNNNNNNNNAGCCUGGCACAGUUUUCCCCAAGUUUCAGGAAGAUACCCAGGGUCUGGGUUGGAAGAGACCUUGGGGAGACCUCCGUGCUUGCCCCUUUCAGCAGGAUCGGUGCCGGGCAGCUGGCAAAGUCUCUCUCUAUGUGAGAAGCUACAGCAUGAUGAAAAUUUACUCUUCCAUUCAUUCCUCUAAUCUAUAUUUAAUUUGCAUCCAGUUUACGUAGUACUGUAUUGUUACACAUAGUGUUUAGAUUAAUUGUAGCUUAUUGUAUAUUUAUUGAUUAUGUAUUCUUUGAUUUUAUGAAUUUUAAUCAUGGAUCUUUUACUAAGCACUUUACUAUAUCACUAGCACUUUUAUACACUAUAGGCACUUUAUUACACUAUAAGUAUAUAGAAGAACUUUCCAAUUUAAAAAUGUAUACGGCUAUUUUAAGCUUUGUCUGGUCUUUUUUAAUUAAUGAUUAGAAAAAAAUAUGCAAAGGAACUCAACUUAAUAUAAGUAUAUUAAGUUGUGGUCCUUUGCACAUUUAUAUUUGAUAUAUGAAUCUAGCAAUUUAAACAGUUUUUUCAAUGGUAUAAGUACAUGUUGUUAAUCAUUUACUGUCUGCAUUAAGCACUUUAUGCUAUAAUUGAGCAAUAACUAGUUACAUAGAUUGUUUAUUUUAUAGUCAGUAUAAUAUUCUUCAUCAAUUUUCUAAUAUAUGGACUCUUGUUUUGUACUUUAUUAAUAUUUUUGCACACACCAUAUUGGCACUUUACUGCAUUUAUAGCACUUUAUACCUCAUAUUUACAUUGAGUCACUUGUGCACGGUAUGGUAUAUCACUUUAAAUAAUGUAGUAUAUUUAGUCCAUACAUAUGUAAUAAAGGCUACCUAAGUGUAACACAAUAUAUACUAUAUAUUGUGUUACACUUAGGUAGCCACACAAUAUAUACUAUAUAUUGUGUUACACUUAGGUUAGCCUUUAUUACAUUAGUGUAUAAGUUAUUCUCUUCAAAACACUAAUUCACUAUGAAUAUAUCGGUAUGAUGUGUAUUAAUAAUACUUUGACAUCAGCCAGUUUUACAUUGUCCAUUUUUCCACUUUUAACAGCUCCAUCACACCGAUCGGUUUGUCCGAUCAGUGUUUUGAUGUGCUGCCCGCAUGGCGUCUGCCGGUUGCCAUAGCUUCGCAGGAAUGUUGUUAGGUUGCCAUAGAGAUGCAUACAGCAUCAAGCCGCAGUAAGAUACUCAUUGGCUGCUGGUACACAUGCGCACAGUGAUCAGCUGGGGUGAGGUAAUCAAUUUUUCACUUUCCCUUAUGGUAUAUAAGCUGGCUUUGCAUCUUUUCCUAAGUUGUGUUUCAAAGCUGUUGUAUACAGCAAACACAGAGUCAAAGGAAUCUAUGUUUAAAAUGGAAUGAGGCAAAAAUAGGAUUCUUUAUUGAACUAAUUUGCAUAUGCCCACCAAGAAUCCUUUGCGGUAGUAACAUCACUGCAAAUGUGUGAUUCCUGUGGGAAAAGCAAGUCUUGUGGCUUGACUGGUGUGCAGAUUUUUGUUUAACAUUCUAUUAUAUAUAUAUAUAUAUAUAUAUAUAUUACGGAUCGGUUCACUUAAACAGAAAAGGGAAAAUUGUGGUAGAAUAAAUACAUGGGAAAAGUACUAAAAAGACCUUAGUCACAAACCCGUAGCAUCACAAAAAAAGCCUUGCUCCUUAAUGAGUUAACCUGUUGUUUUACAGUUCGUUAGAACUGUGGGUGGACUUAGGGUGGCGCGAAGAGGAGUCACACUGUCAUUGAUUGCUGAUCGACAGAGUGAUAUGCUGCACAUAGAGGCUUCAAGUACUAUGACCACUUCAAAUUCCUGAAGCCUUCAUGGUGGUUGGAGUAACCUUUAAAAAUGUGAUACAUGAAGAGCUUUUCUAUAUGUAGGUAGUGCUUUUAAGACAUUAUUUACAAUCUUAGAAGAGACAAACCACUCAACAAAUUAUUUUUGUUAAUUUUGAGUCAACAGUGAUCUUCACAUCAAUUCUUUUAAUGACAUAACAAUAGUAUUUUUACAAUAACCCCAUGCUAAUAAGGAAGUUGUGGGCAUUUUCACAGGAAGAGGAACUGGCACUGAGACAGGAGCAGGAAUUGGAGAAUCUUCUGUACCAAACAGAAUUGUGUGCUGCAAAGUGUGGAAUAGGAGACAUCAAUGAAGUAAAGACAACUACUGAUCAGG
rnacentral:lncRNA from 1 species